rnacentral:rRNA from 1 species
GGUAACCUGCCUGUAAGACUGGGAUAACUCCGGGAAACCGGGGCUAAUACCGGAUGCUUGUUUGAACCGCAUGGUUCAAACAUAAAAGGUGGCUUCGGCUACCACUUACAGAUGGACCCGCGGCGCAUUAGCUAGUUGGUGAGGUAAUGGCUCACCAAGGCAACGAUGCGUAGCCGACCUGAGAGGGUGAUCGGCCACACUGGGACUGAGACACGGCCCAGACUCCUACGGGAGGCAGCAGUAGGGAAUCUUCCGCAAUGGACGAAAGUCUGACGGAGCAACGCCGCGUGAGUGAUGAAGGUUUUCGGAUCGUAAAGCUCUGUUGUUAGGGAAGAACAAGUACCGUUCGAAUAGGGCGGUACCUUGACGGUACCUAACCAGAAAGCCACGGCUAACUACGUGCCAGCAGCCGCGGUAAUACGUAGGUGGCAAGCGUUGUCCGGAAUUAUUGGGCGUAAAGGGCUCGCAGGCGGUUCCUUAAGUCUGAUGUGAAAGCCCCCGGCUCAACCGGGGAGGGUCAUUGGAAACUGGGGAACUUGAGUGCAGAAGAGGAGAGUGGAAUUCCACGUGUAGCGGUGAAAUGCGUAGAGAUGUGGAGGAACACCAGUGGCGAAGGCGACUCUCUGGUCUGUAACUGACGCUGAGGAGCGAAAGCGUGGGGAGCGAACAGGAUUAAAUACCCUGGUAGUCCACGC